rnacentral:rRNA from 1 species
AUUGAACGCUGGCGGCAUGCCUUACACAUGCAAGUCGAACGGUAACAGGUCUUCGGAUGCUGACGAGUGGCGAACGGGUGAGUAAUACAUCGGAGCGUGCCCAGUCGUGGGGGAUAACUGCUCGAAAGAGCAGCUAAUACCGCAUACGACCUGAGGGUGAAAGCGGGGGACCGUAAGGCCUCGCGCGAUUGGAGCGGCCGAUGUCAGAUUAGCUAGUUGGUGGGGUAAAGGCCUACCAAGGCAACGAUCUGUAGUUGGUCUGAGAGGACGACCAGCCACACUGGGACUGAGACACGGCCCAGACUCCUACGGGAGGCAGCAGUGGGGAAUUUUGGACAAUGGGCGCAAGCCUGAUCCAGCAAUGCCGCGUGCAGGAAGAAGGCCUUCGGGUUGUAAACUGCUUUUGUCAGGGAAGAAAUCUUCUGGGCUAAUACCCCGGGAGGAUGACGGUACCUGAAGAAUAAGCACCGGCUAACUACGUGCCAGCCGCCGCAGUAAGAC